UCCGGUUUGACACCGGCAGUCCCGCUAGAGUGCAGCCGCCGAAGCGACAUAGCAACUAGAGGCAGGGGUUUCGCUCGUUAGAGGACUUAACCCGACACUUCACAGCACGAGCUGACGACAGCCAUGCAGCACCUGUGCACGUUCCACCUUGCGGUGUCAUCCCCCUUUCAGAGGACUAAUCCGUGCAUGUCAAGCCCUGGAUAAGGUUCUUCGCGUUGCUUCGAAUUAAGCCACAUGCUCCACCGCUUGUGUGAGCCCCCGUCAAUUCCUUUGAGUUUUAGCCUUGCGACCGUACUCCCCAGGCGGUGCACUAAGUGUUUUUACUUCGACCCUGUCGGCGUCAGAGCCUCCAAGGUCUAGUGCACAUCGUUUACGGCGUGGACUAC
rnacentral:misc_RNA from 1 species